rnacentral:piRNA from 1 species
GGGGGCUGAAGAGAUGGCUCAGAGGU